rnacentral:tRNA from 1 species
GGCUCAGUUGGUAGAGCAUGAGACUCUUAAUCUCAGGGCCGUGGGUUCGUGCCCCAC